CCUACGGGAGGCAGCAGUGGGGAAUAUUGGACAAUGGGGGAAACCCUGAUCCAGCGACGCCGCGUGAGUGAAGAAGUAUUUCGGUACGUAAAGCUCUAUCAGAAGGAAAGAAAAUGACGGUACCUGACUAAGAAGCCCCGGCUAACUACGUGCCAGCAGCCGCGGUAAUACGUAGGGGGCAAGCGUUAACCGGAUUUACUGGGUGGAAAGGGAGCGUAGACGGCAGUGCAAGUCUGGAGUGAAAUGCGCGGGCCUAACCCCGGAACGGCACAGGAAACUGUGAGGCUGGAGUGCAGGAGAGGUAAGCGGAAUUCCAGGUGUAGCGGUGAAAUGCGUAGAUAUCAGGAGGAACACCGGCGGCGAAGGCGGCUUCCUGGACUGUAACUGACGUUGAGACACGAAGGCGUGGGGAGCAAACAGGAUUAGAUACCCCAGUAGUC
rnacentral:rRNA from 1 species